GGAUUAGAUACCCUGGUAGUCCACGCCGUAAACGAUGUCUACUUGGAGGUUGUGGCCUUGAGCCGUGGCUUUCGGAGCUAACGCGUUAAGUAGACCGCCUGGGGAGUACGGUCGCAAGAUUAAAGCUCAAAUGAAUUGACGGGGGCCCGCACAAGCGGUGGAGCAUGUGGUUUAAUUCGACGCAACGCGAAGAACCUUACCAGCUCUUGACAUUCACUGACUGUUUUCAGAGAUGAAUUCGUCCUAGCAAUAGGCAGUGGGACAGGUGCUGCAUGGCCGUCGUCAGCUCGUGCCG
rnacentral:rRNA from 1 species